rnacentral:rRNA from 1 species
CAGUAGCCGCGGGAAUACGGAGGGGGCUAGCGUUGUUCGGAAUUACUGGGCGUAAAGCGCACGUAGGCGGCUUGGUAAGUUAGAGGUGAAAGCCCGGAGCUCAACUCCGGAAUUGCCUUUAAGACUGCCGAGCUAGUAGGUGAGAGAGGUAAGUGGAAUUCCGAGUGUAGAGGUGAAAUUCGUAGAUAUUCGGAAGAACACCAGUGGCGAAGGCGGCUCACUGGCUCAUACUGGACGCUGAGGUGCGAAAGCGUGGGGAGCAAACAGGAUUAGAUACCCCUGUAGUCCCUGUCUCUUAUAU